CUGAGGUGCCAACCCCACCCUGGGUGGGGCUACCAAACUGUGCAGGCUGGGCUUGCCGGACUAGUUGAAGGAGGUUAAUUCUAGGUAUUGGCCAGAAAACGGCUGGUUUGGAGGUUUUCUUUGCAUUCCUUUGGCUUGGAAACUGGAGAUGUUGGCUGGAAGAGGUGCUGCCAAGUGCAUACCUGGAGCAGGGAAUGCCUCUUCCUCACUUCUGCAACAGUCAUUUAUGUGUUGGGGCUGGGACUGAAAAUACAUGUCACAGACGCCUUGUGUAACAGCUACCUGACAGUGCUACCUCAGGAGGCAGAUCCGCAGCGUGUGCGCUCCGUGCGCUGCCGGCGCCGGGACCUGCCUGCGGAAUUCCAGCGUGAUUGCAGAUGUCCUUGGAGGGGAGGAGUUCCUGGAGGCACCAGCUGAAGCAAGACGCCUCACAAACAAAAGUUCAAGGUGUGAGCACAGCAGGGUCUGGCUCCUAGGUUGGCCUGUGCUUGCCACUGCACCCAAGGAGUUCUCAGACAGAUUCAAACCAGUGGAACUUGCAGUAGCAGAGAGGACAGAAAAUGGUGCCCAGCACCUCCUUCUGCUCAGCUGGGCUCUGUGCAUAGGCUUUGCCAUUCUUGCAGCCAUGCAUCACAGCUGCCUGCAGAUCACAUCUGCCUGAUGAUCUCCGCAGCAACUUGGGCACUCAAGGCGGGAAUAUGAGCUGCUUUGUCUCUCAGCGCUGGCAAAACUCUUUUCCCUCU
rnacentral:lncRNA from 13 species